AGUGAACGCUGGCGGCGUGCUUAACACAUGCAAGUCGAACGAGAACGGGUUAUAGCUUGCUAUAAUUGUCAGCUAAGUGGCGCACGGGUGAGUAAUGUAUAGGUAAUAUGCCUCUUACUAAGGGAUAACAAAUGGAAACGUUUGCUAAUACCUUAUACUCCUUAUUAACAGAAGUUAAUAAGGGAAAGAUUUAUUGGUAAGAGAUUAGCCUGUAUUGUAUCAGUUAGUUGGUGGGGUAAUGGCUUACCAAGACUAUGACACAUAACUGGUUUGAGAGGAUGAUCAGUCACACUGGAACUGAGACACGGUCCAGACUCCUACGGGAGGCAGCAGUGGGGAAUAUUGCACAAUGGACGAAAGUCUGGUGCAGCAACGCCGCGUAGAGGAUGACACAUUUCGGUGCGUAAACUCCUUUUAUAUGAGAAGAUAAUGACGCUAUUAUAUGAAUAAGCACCGGCUAACUCCGUGCCAGCAGCCGCCGUAA
rnacentral:rRNA from 1 species